CGCCCCUGGCCGCAGUUGGCCGACGGGAGGCAGAGCGCCGAGCGAGGGUGUCGGCUUUUUUGUGUCUGUUUCCUGUGGGGGGGCGGUGGUGGCCGU
rnacentral:pre_miRNA from 10 species